UACGUAGGGUGCAAGCGUUAAUCGGAAUUACUGGACGUAAAGCGUGCGCAGGCGGUUGUGCAAGACCGAUGUGAAAUCCCCGGGCUUAACCUGGGAAUGGCAUUGGUGACUGCACGGCUAGAGUGUGUCAGAGGGGGGUAGAAUUCCACGUGUAGCAGUGAAAUGCGUAGAGAUGUGGAGGAAUACCGAUGGCGAAGGCAGCCCCCUGGGAUAACACUGACGCUCAGGCACGAAAGCGUGGGGAGCAAACAGG
rnacentral:rRNA from 1 species